rnacentral:lncRNA from 1 species
UUGAAAGUGUGUAGCUCUUCUGCCUUUGUGUGCUUUCUCUCUCUCCUGCUUCCAAGUCAAGAUGUGCUGGCUUCUCCUUUGCCCUUCUGUCAUUAUUGUAAGUUUCAUGAGGCCUCGGAGCCACGCUUCCUGUAUAGCCUGCAGAACUGCUCACUGCUGGUAUUAGAAAGUUCUCAAGGCUACCUUAUCCUUCUUGGUUCCUCUCUCGUCUCCUUCUCCCCAGCUCAACCAGGU